CGCGGGGUGGAGCAGCCCAGUAGCUCGCCAGGCUCAUAACCUGGAGGUCGCCGGAGCGAAGCCGGCCCCCGCAA
rnacentral:tRNA from 1 species